rnacentral:rRNA from 1 species
UACGGAGGGGGCUAGCGUUGUUCGGAAUUACUGGGCGUAAAGCGCACGUAGGCGGCGAUCUAAGUCAGAGGUGAAAGCCCGGGGCUCAACCCCGGAAUAGCCUUUGAGACUGGAUUGCUUGAACAUCGGAGAGGUGAGUGGAAUUCCGAGUGUAGAGGUGAAAUUCGUAGAUAUUCGGAAGAACACCAGUGGCGAAGGCGGCUCACUGGACGAUUGUUGACGCUGAGGUGCGAAAGCGUGGGGAGCAAACAGG